rnacentral:rRNA from 1 species
CCUACGGGAGGCAGCAGUAAGGAAUAUUGGUCAAUGGACGCAAGUCUGAACCAGCCAUGCCGCGUGCAGGAUGAAGGCCCUCUGGGUUGUAAACUGCUUUUAUAGGGGACGAAAAAGGGACUUUCUAGUUCAACUGACGGUACCCUAGGAAUAAGCACCGGCUAACUCCGUGCCAGCAGCCGCGGUAAUACGGAGGGUGCAAGCGUUAUCCGGAUUUACUGGGUUUAAAGGGUGCGUAGGUGGGUCGGUAAGUCAGCGGUGAAAUCUUCAAGCUUAACUUGGAAACUGCCAUUGAUACUAUCGAUCUUGAAUCAUCUGGAGGUAAGCGGAAUAUGUCAUGUAGCGGUGAAAUGCUUAGAUAUGACAUAGAACACCAAUUGCGAAGGCAGCUUACUACGGAUGUAUUGACACUGAGGCACGAAAGCGUGGGGAUCAAACAGGAUUAGAUACCCUGGUAGUCCACGCCCUAAACGAUGGAUACUCGACAUACGUGAUAUACUAUGUGUGUCUGNGNGAAGANAUAGUAUCCACCUGGAGUAGAGCGCGAGAGUAGAACGUACAAUAGAGUUAGAGGCGUGAGACGUUAGCGACGGACGACGACGAGGGGAGGUAGG